CCUACGGGAGGCAGCAGUGGGGAAUCUUGCACAAUGGAGGAAACUCUGAUGCAGCGAUGCCGCGUGAGUGAAGAAGGCCCUUGGGUUGUAAAGCUCUUUCNUCGGGGAAGAAAAUGACUGUACCCGAAUAAGAAGGUCCGGCUAACUUCGUGCCANCAGCCGCGGUAAUACGAAGGGACCUAGCGUAGUUCGGAAUUACUGGGCUUAAAGAGUUCGUAGGUGGUUGAAAAAGUUGGUGGUGAAAUCCCANAGCUUANCUCUGGAACUGCCAUCAAAACUUUUCANCUAGAGUAUGAUAGAGGAAAGCANAAUUUCUAGUGUAGAGGUGAAAUUCGUAGAUAUUAUAAAGAAUACCAAUUGCGAAGGCAGCUUUC
rnacentral:rRNA from 1 species